AGAGUUUGAUCAUGGCUCAGAUUGAACGCUGGCGGCAUGCUUUACACAUGCAAGUCGAACGGCAGCACGGGGGCAACCCUGGUGGCGAGUGGCGAACGGGUGAGUAAUGCAUCGGAACGUGUCCUGUAAUGGGGGAUAACCUGGCGAAAGCCAGGCUAAUACCGCAUACGUCCUGAGGGAGAAAGCGGGGGAUUGGCAACGACCUCGUGUUAUAGGAGCGGCCGAUGUCGGAUUAGCUAGUUGGUGGGGUAAAGGCCUACCAAGGCGACGAUCCGUAGCGGGUCUGAGAGGACGGCCCGCCACACUGGGACUGAGACACGGCCCAGACUCCUACGGGAGGCAGCAGUGGGGAAUUUUGGACAAUGGGGGCAACCCUGAUCCAGCCAUGCCGCGUGAGUGAAGAAGGCCUUCGGGUUGUAAAGCUCUUUCGGCCGGGAAGAAAUCGCUUCGGCUAAUACCUGGAGUGGAUGACGGUACCGGAAGAAGAAGCACCGGCUAACUACGUGCCAGCAGCCGCGGUAAUAC
rnacentral:rRNA from 1 species